GGUUGUGGCUCAGCAGUAGAGCGCUUGCCUCGCAUGUGCGAGACCCUGGGUUCGAUCCUCAGCACCA
rnacentral:tRNA from 1 species